GUAGGUGGCAAGCGUUGUCCGGAAUUAUUGGGCGUAAAGCGCGCGCAGGCGGUCCUUUAAGUCUGAUGUGAAAGCCCACGGCUCAACCGUGGAGGGUCAUUGGAAACUGGGGGACUUGAGUACAGAAGAGGAAAGCGGAAUUCCAAGUGUAGCGGUGAAAUGCGUAGAGAUUUGGAGGAACACCAGUGGCGAAGGCGGCUUUCUGGUCUGUAACUGACGCUGAGGCGCGAAAGCGUGGGGAGCAAACAGGAUUAGAUAACCUGGUAGUCCACGCCGUAAACGAUGAGUGCUAAGUGUUAGGGGGUUUCCCGCCCCCUUAGUGCUGCAGCUAACGCGUUAAGCACUCCGCCUGGGGGAGUACGGCCGCAAGGCUG
rnacentral:rRNA from 1 species